UCUUGGAGAGUUUGAUCCUGGCUCAGGACGAACGCUGGCGGCGUGCUUAACACAUGCAAGUCAAGGGGGUCCGCAAGGACAACCGGCGAACGGGUGCGUAACACGUGAGUGACCUGCCUGGAAAUGGGGGAUAGCCGGCCCAACGGCCGGGUAAUACCGCAUACG
rnacentral:rRNA from 1 species